rnacentral:rRNA from 1 species
GAUCCUGGCUUAGGAUGAACGCUGGCGGCGUGCCUAACACAUGCAAGUCGAGCGAUUCUCUUCGGAGAAGAGCGGCGGACGGGUGAGUAACGCGUGGGUAACCUGCCUCAUACACAUGGAUAACAUACCGAAAGGUAUGCUAAUACAGGAUAAUAUAAGAGAUUCACAUGGAUUUCUUAUCAAAGCUCCGGCGGUAUGAGAUGGACCCGCGUCUGAUUAGCUAGUUGGUAAGGUAACGGCUUACCAAGGCGACGAUCAGUAGCCGACCUGAGAGGGUGAUCGGCCACAUUGGAACUGAGACACGGUCCAAACUCCUACGGGAGGCAGCAGUGGGGAAUAUUGCACAAUGGGCGAAAGCCUGAUGCAAGCAACGCCGCGUGAGUGAUGAAGGCCUUCGGGUCGUAAAACUCUGUCCUCAAGGAAGAUAAUGACGGUACUUGAGGAGGAAGCCCCGGCUAACUACGUGCCAGCAGCAGC